CCCACCCUUCACCCAUAACCGUAACUGUAACCGGAGAACAUUUUCAUCUGGAGAACACCCGCUUUCCUGCUUUCCUGAGCAUCACUUGGGGGCCUCGGGGCUCACGGGCCUGCUUCGAUGCUCCAGCCCAGGGGACAGAGCACCGCAGCACCUGCCACUGUGAUCGAGAGCUGGGAAAUGGCCACACACCGAGCUUGGUUUUUCCAGAGUCAGCACACAGGGGAACAGGUCCUCGCCGUGUUUCCUCCAAGCCUCUGGAUGUGUAACGAGACCGCCGUCGCCUCAGGAGCACAGUGCACCCCGAACAAGCCCCGGGAGUACGGGCGACAUUAAGUACUUCAUCGGUGGGAGGCAGUGAGACCCGCUCAGUCACAGUGACCCCGCGGUGUAGGUGUCAUCCCCGCCCUUCGGUCCAGCAGGGCGACUGAGCGCUUAUCGACGUCUGAAGGUGUGGGCCUCUCGGGCUACCUGCGGGCUGGUUCUUAUCUGCCGCCCGCCCCCCCGCCCCGUGUGCCACAGGGGGUCUCGCUCACGGUGCUCAGACGCCCACCUGGCGCGCAGCAGUCCCUGGGGGUGAACCGACCCACACACCAGCCGACACGUGCGUGUGCACCACUUCCUCCCAUCACAGGACCUGGACGACCUGCCACCCACCCCUCGGCCUGUGCUCAGGGUCCCGCUGGGAGUCAGGCUCUGCCAGGGCGUUGGGGGGGGGGACCUCGGGCGGGUGGCCCUGCCUUUAGAAAGGCUCUCGGCUCCCUUUUCACAUCUCACGUGGCGGGGCGGCCACUCCUGCUGUGUUACCGGAGAGGCUGUUGCCACUCGGAUGACUUGGCCAAGGUCCCAGAGAGCAAAGCCUGCCUGGGGGCCGGGUAAGGAAAACGUGCCUUUGCCCUGUCUGCCCACGGACGCCAGGCACUUGGUGUCAGGUCCAAGCCCUUCCGCGGUCCCGGAGGUGAAGGGGGCGUGAGGAGCCGCGAACUCCCGCUGCAGCGACAAGUGCGUCCCGGAGAGCCACGGGGGCAGCCAGUGGUAACGACUGGCUCUUAGCUUCCCUGCAGUUCCCUUGCGACACGGGUACCCCGGGAGGUCACUCCCUGUGAUGCAGGAAACAAAGACCAGAAAAAUUAAAUUUCCUUCCUACCUACAGCCCACGGACAAGUCCCGGACACGGGCGGACGGACCUUCCUCCGGUGACUCAGCUGCCUCACUGUCAACACUUUGCUGAGGGCACCGGGCGAGCUUAGCCCGACCCCCAGGAGCCUGAGAGUCUAACAUGUAGAGACUCCUUUGGAGGGGGCGCUGGGGGGCUCAGCGGGUGAGCAUCUGCCUUCAGCUCAGGGCGUCUGACCCCGGGGUCCCGGGAUCGAGUCCCGCAUCGGGCUCCCUGCAGGGAGCCUGCUUCUCCCUCUGCCUGUGUCUCUGCCUCUGUUCUUUCUCAUGAAUAAGUAAAAUCUUUAAAAAAAAUUCCUUUGGAAACUUCCUUUGUCUCUACCCCAAGAUAUGUGUGGGGUCAUCCCCCAAGCACAUGGCCCCUGACAUACAUCCGAAGGGUCUCAUGACUCAGGUUUUAUCAGCUGGUAAUAAAUGACCUUUCCCAACACUAGCCA
ensembl:lncRNA